rfam:Rattus norvegicus chromosome 5, whole genome shotgun sequence.
GGGGAUUUAGCUCAGUGGUAGAGCGCUUGCCCAACAAGCACAAGGCCCUGGGUUCGGUCCCCAGCUCCG